AGUGAACGCUGGCGGUAGGCCUAACACAUGCAAGUCGAACGGCAGCACAGAGGAGCUUGCUCCUUUGGGUGGCGAGUGGCGGACGGGUGAGGAAUACAUCGGAAUCUACUCUGUCGUGGGGGAUAACGUAGGGAAACUUACGCUAAUACCGCAUACGACCUACGGGUGAAAGCAGGGGAUCUUCGGACCUUGCGCGAUUGAAUGAGCCGAUGUCGGAUUAGCUAGUUGGCGGGGUAAAGGCCCACCAAGGCGACGAUCCGUAGCUGGUCUGAGAGGAUGAUCAGCCACACUGGAACUGAGACACGGUCCAGACUCCUACGGGAGGCAGCAGUGGGGAAUAUUGGACAAUGGGCGCAAGCCUGAUCCAGCCAUACCGCGUGGGUGAAGAAGGCCUUCGGGUUGUAAAGCCCUUUUGUUGGGAAAGAAAUCCAGCCGGCUAAUACCUGGUUGGGAUGACGGUACCCAAAGAAUAAGCACCGGCUAACUUCGUGCCAGCAGCCGCGGUAAUACGAAGGGUGCAAGCGUUACUCGGAAUUACUGGGCGUAAAGCGUGCGUAGGUGGUUAUUUAAGUCCGUUGUGAAAGCCCUGGGCUCAACCUGGGAACUGCAGUGGAUACUGGAUGACUAGAAUGUGGUAGAGGGUAGCGGAAUUCCUGGUGUAGCAGUGAAAUGCGUAGAGAUCAGGAGGAACAUCCAUGGCGAAGGCAGCUACCUGGACCAACAUUGACACUGAGGCACGAAAGCGUGGGGAGCAAACAGG
rnacentral:rRNA from 1 species